rnacentral:lncRNA from 1 species
AAUCCCUCAGGGGAGUCAGAACUAAUUUGGGAUUCCUACCAGGUUAGUAAGCAAGGUGCCCAGCUCCUCAUCCUAGCUUGAACUAGAGCAAAUCCAAAACACUGUAAAGUUCUCAUUGCCUUCAGGGCCAGGCACCAACCAAGGAAGAUUUUUGGGUACUAAUUUUGGACUUAAAUUUAGCCUAAACUCCAGUCAGGUGUUGUGUUCCUAAAGGACUCCCUUUUUUAAACAUUUCACCUGAAGAGGUCUUCAGCAUGUACUUAUAAAUUUGGCAUAAAUCUUAAAUUUUGCCUUUGAAAAAGGAUACUUUACUCAACUUCAUGAGUGUGACCAGCUAAAGCUUUAGGUACGUGCUCUGCUGAGCACUCUGUCAGGUCUGUGACAGUCAACAGCAAAUAAGGAUCUGUAACGCAGAGCACAAGUUGUCAUUAUCAACUGAGACAUUCCAUCCAAAAACAGAUGGAGAUGCCACUCCUUGUUUUACAAAAUGCACAUUGAGAAGAGCUGGGUUCUAGUCACGCCCUCAAAAGAUGGAAGCACAGACCAAGGUGUGUAACCUCUCCAGGCUACUUCUGUCCUGAGCUGCAGCAGUCUCUGAGAGGAACUGACUGGGGCUGGGAGCUGCCCCUUUCCUGGAGAGCUACGAGUAGGACAAC